UACGUAGGCAGCGAGUGUUGUUCGGAAUUACUGGGCGUAAAGAGUGUGUAGGCGGUGCUCUAAGUUCGGUGUGAAAUCUCCUGGCUCAACUGGGAGGGUGCGCCGGAAACUGGAGUGCUUGAGCGUGGGAGAGGAAAGCGGAAUUCCUGGUGUAGCGGUGAAAUGCGUAGAUAUCAGGAGGAACACCUGUGGUGUAGACGGCUUUCUGGACCAUAGCUGACGCUGAGACACGAAAGCGUGGGUAGCAAACAGG
rnacentral:rRNA from 1 species